rnacentral:rRNA from 1 species
CCUACGGGCGGCAGCAGUGGGGGAUAUUGCACCAUGGGGGAAACCCUGAUGCAGCGACGCCGCGUGGGUGAAGAAGCGCCUCGGCGCGUAAAGCCCUGUCAGCAGGGAAGAAAAUGACGGUACCUGAAGAAGAAGCCCCGGCUAACUACGUGCCAGCAGCCGCGGUAAUACGUAGGGGGCAAGCGUUAUCCGGAUUUACUGGGUGUAAAGGGGGCGCAGACGGCGAUGCAAGCCAGGAGUGAAAGCCCGGGGCCCAACCCCGGGACUGCUCGUGGAACUGCGUGGCUAGAGUGCAGGAGGGGCAGGCGGAAUUCCUGGUGUAGCGGUGAAAUGCGUAGAUAUCAGGAGGAACACCGGUGGCGAAGGCGGCCUGCUGGACUGCAACUGACGUUGAGGCCCGAAAGCGUGGGGAGCAAACAGGAUUAGAUACCCCAGUAGUC